CUUUAAAAAAAUUAUUUAUUCCGUAAAUAUAACUUUUCAAUAACAUCGUCAGCCAUAUGACAGCCUACAGAGAAGGCAUGAAGACAAAAACAGCAAAACAUGCUCAAACAGAAACACACAAGGUGCAGAGGAGUAGCCUGCGUUCUGGGCAGUGACACGAUUAUUGCAGAUGGGAGAGGUAUAUCAAUGUCUUCCAACACAUUAAACAUUUAAAAUCCUUAAUUUGUAUCAAGACGUUGGUCUUACAGGUGGAUGGUGAGUCACUGACAUAUUAAUCGAUAAAACAAUAAAUAAACGUUGACAUUCUGUUCAGGUUUUCAAAAAUGUUACCUGUGGUCGAUCCACUGAGAAAACACUAAACUACUUUCCAAAAGCCUUCCGUUCUUUUAUAGACCUAGAAAAUGGCAAGAAAUACACCCUAGCAUAACUUUAACCAGACCACAAAAAAAAGCUCUUUAUGUCCCAUCUCUUCACUUAAAUAACUAUUUAUAAUGAUCGAUAUGCCUAUUCAAAGUCACAAGAGAGCACCACUGAUCCAGAUCACCCGAGGGGUUGAUAAUAUUCCCACAUAUUUCUAUUUCUGCCUCAUCAGUCCAUCAAUGCAUUGAUUUUUGGGAGAUUCUCGUGGGUUCCUAAACAUAUUGCACCAAAGGCUGCAUCUGCAGCUUCAGUGGAUCAAUGCCUGCAGUGCGAUAACCGUUUGAGUACGAGUACACCGUUUGAGACCAGAUCAAAUUUAGAGAUACCGCUGAAAAUUACCUUCUUAAACAGCUGCGAGAUAUAGUGCUGAGAACAUUCUUAAGAAAAUCUUAAUGUGAUACCAUUUUCAUGACAUUGUGUUCUCAUAUUAUUUGGAAAAAAGCAAAGUGAGUCAUGACGACCCAACCCGUUCUCACCCAAACCCCACUGCCUCACAGAUCAAUGAUUCCUUGUGAUCUAUUUGGAUAGUACGGGGAUUCUGUUGGGUAGAAGACGUAUUCAAGCUGUACAGAUAUAUGCAAAGAACAAGCACGACUUAACAGAAUAAGAUGCACUGUGAUAUUAAAUAUAUAAAAGGUGUUAUCAGACAUGUAUUCAUUUUCCCAAAAUAUGAUUUAAAGUGAUUCAAGGGAAACCACUGGUUCAACAAAAAUAAAUCGGUGAGUCUAUAACCGUUUAACAUUUCAACUGCUUUGCAUAGACGCCACGCAACGCUAACACAAUUCUUCAAACGCGUGUUCCGUGUGAGCAACAGGGUUGAUGACAGCGAGUUCAAAACGGUUGUCUUAAAAGAGUUCCCAACCCGCCAUCGAUGGCUUGGUUCAGUUUAGAUUAACCUGGAGUCGCUUCAUCAUGCCCAGCUCCUGGCCCCCACCCUGAUGUGGCCUCCUCAGACACCUCAGAUCAAGAAGGUCAGACUCCUCAUCAGGAGGGAGAGACAAGCUGGGUUCAGCCUAGAGGUGUCCUGGGGAGAAGCUCCUUAAGGAGAGCGGCUAGCCAUCCGUACCGGAGAUACACAUAAGCAACGCAUGGCACAACAAUAUGCCGAUUAUUACAUGAUUGUGAUGAUUUCAAUGAUGAACAAAACGGUAUGCAAUGGAAAAUGUAUGCAAGACAGGAUCAAGGCAAACCCAACAUAACAUGAAAGGGACAUGUGAUGAAACAAAUGUGCAAAAAGCUCUGCCUGUAAAGUCAUUACUUACUUUACAUUCUAAAUCCUAAUUGUCUCUUUGAAGCAGUGUGGGCCGGAAUGUUCUCCGACCGGGACAGAGAUCAGGAGCAGCCGUGCAGAGCACAAACCAUCGUUACACUAAAACCCUGAUAUUUUUUUUUUUCUGAAAUAAACGUAACAUGUCAACGGCGAUCUCCAAAGAGUACUCUGUCGGUCGAUCAGUGGGACAUUGCCUUCGCAGGAUGUGGUCGCCUCUAAGGGCUGUGAUGUCACUUCCUUUAGUGCAAGGAUGGUUUUGGUCAUCGGGUGAAAUCAUAAACAAAUGGAGAUGAAGGCGUUUGAGGAGGGAAGCGAUGCUGGACUGUGGACUUAUGGACUGUGGACUGUGGGAGAUUUGGAUGUACGAGUAAACUUCCUUUAAAUGAAUGAUCUGAGGAUAUGUUUUAUAUCCCCCCACCCCUCACCGGCCUCAGCUAGAGAGGAGGACAAUGUUCAACAGAACAAUGAUAAUAUUAUUAAGAAUAGUCGUCUUUACAAUAAUCAACUUUCUUUACAAUCGGGCACAAAAAUAAAGUGGUUUCUCUCAUUAACUCGUGUCUUUGGUCUUUGGUACCGUGAUAAGGCCUUUGAGUAGCUGGGCUCCCAAGUAAAGCUAUUGCCAGACCGGGGGAGGGGGGGGGGGGCUAUGGGGGACAGGGGUCCUACUGAUCCUCCAUCUCUGAGCUUCAGGGAGGCCUUCUGAUUGGCCAGCCUCUGCAGCAAGGGUGUUUGCAAUUGGUUGGAGCAAAUCUAUUUUGUGCUUCAAUUCCCAGCCGAAUACGUUUUGGUCGAUCAAAAGUCUAUUCCGUGUCUUUUGGACGUUUGGGGAACCCCUCCACGUGGAGUGUGUGCGGUGGGAGCAGCUCAAACCAGGCGGGCACCACGCACACUCCACGCUGCGUCAGCUGUUAAUGUCAUGUGUCUCCCAGAGACACGCUGGUGGUUCCCUGGUGGACCGACUGGUACUGAGGGGGGCCAACGAGAGGUGAGGCGGGGUACCCCCCCCCCUCAGGGGCCCCAGGGGAGGGGGGGGGUCAGCAGUGGCUGGCCUCGAUGGGGGACAGGGUCAGGAUACUGCGGUCGUUGGAGUAGAGGUUCUCCGGGUCGCUCCACGACCUGAAAGCAGGAGCAGUGGAGAAGGUUAGAAGGCUGGCAGGGAGAGAGAGGCCCAAUCAGAGAGAGCCCCGUGUGUGGCCCAAUCAGAGAGAGCCCUGUGUGGCCCAAUCAGAGAGAGCCCUGUGUGGCCCAGUCAGAGAGAGCCCUGUGUGAGGCCCAGUCAGAGAGAGCCCUGUGUGAGGCCCAGUCAGAGAGAGCCCUGUGUGAGGCCCAAUCAGAGAGAGCCCUGUGUGAGGCCCAAUCAGAGAGAGCCCUGUGUGAGGCCCAAUCAGAGAGAGCCCUGUGUGAGGCCCAAUCAGAGAGAGCCCUGUGUGAGGCCCAAUCAGAGAGGGCCCCUUGUGUGUGGGCCCAAU
ensembl:lncRNA